rnacentral:rRNA from 1 species
GAGAGGUGCUGCAUGGCUGUCGUCAGCUCGUGUUGUGAGAUGUUGGGUUAAGUCUCGCAGCGAGCGCAGCCCCUAUCGUCUGUUGCCAGCAUUAAGUUGGGCACUCUGACGAGACUGCCUGGGUUAACCAGGAGGAAGGUGGGGAUGACGUCAAGUCCUCAUGGCCCUUAUGUCUAGGGCUACACACGUAAUACAAUGGCGCGUACAAAGGGAAGCGAACUCGCACGGGGGAGCAAAUCUCAAAAAGCGCGUCUCAGUCCGGAUUGGAGUCUGCAACUCGACUCCAUGAAGUUGGAAUCGCUAGUA